rnacentral:tRNA from 1 species
GCGGGUAGUAGGCUAACUGGUGUAGCUACUGGUCUUCCAAACCAGCCUCGAAAGAGUCGGGGUUCGAUUCCCCCUGCCCGCUCCA